GGCGGGGUAGCUCAGCUGGUUAGAGCAACGGAAUCAUAAUCCGUGUGUCGUGGGUUCAAAUCCCUCUCCCGCUACCA
rnacentral:tRNA from 3 species